UACGUAGGGGGCUAGCGUUGUCCGGAUUUAUUGGGCGUAAAGAGCGUGUAGGCGGCCAGGUAGGUCUGCUGUGAAAACUCGAGGCUCAACCUCGAGACGUCGGCGGAAACCAUCUGGCUAGAGUCCGGAAGAGGAGAGUGGAAUUCCUGGUGUAGCGGUGAAAUGCGUAGAUAUCAGGAGGAACACCGGUGGUGUAGACGGCUUACUGGACCACGACUGACACUGAGGCACGAAAGCGUGGGUAGCAAACAGG
rnacentral:rRNA from 1 species